GGGACAACCCGCCGAAAGGCGGGCUAAACCCGCGUACAUGCCACCGGGGCAUCCCGGAGGCAGGAAAGGCUUCGGCCGGACAGGGAUGGGCAUGCGGCGCAUUAGGCAGUAGGCGGGGUAACGGCCCACCUAACCGACGAUGCGUAGGGGUCCUGAGAGGAAGGUCCCCCACACUGGUACUGAGACACGGACCAGACUCCUACGGGAGGCAGCAGUGAGGAAUAUUGGUCAAUGGUCGGGAGACUGAACCAGCCAAGCCGCGUGAGGGAGGAAGGUACAGAGUAUCGUAAACCUCUUUUGUCAGGGAACAAAGACUGGGACGCGUCCCCGGAUGAGUGUACCUGAAGAAAAAGCAUCGGCUAACUCCGUGCCAGCAGCCGCGGUAAUACGGAGGAUGCGAGCGUUAUCCGGAUUUAUUGGGUUUAAAGGGUGCGCAGGCGGUCUGUUAAGUCAGCGGUCAAAGCCCGGGGCUCAACCCCGGCCCGCCGUUGAAACUGGCAGUCUCGAGUUGGAGAGAAGUAUGCGGAAUGCGCGGUGUAGCGGUGAAAUGCAUAGAUAUCGCGCAGAACUCCGAUUGCGAAGGCAGCAUGCCGGCUCCACACUGACGCUGAGGCACGAAAGCGUGGGUAUCGAACAGGAUUAGAUACCCUGGUAGUCCACGCAGUAAAC
rnacentral:rRNA from 1 species